UGCAUUCACUACUGUAAGUCGCUCUGGAUAAGAGCGUCUGAUAAAAUGACUAAAA
rfam:Salmo salar isolate Sally breed double haploid chromosome ssa23, whole genome shotgun sequence.